CAAUGGCUUUAUCUUCUGUCGCUAACACAAGUGCGGAUGCUGAACUCUCCAUCAUUUGCGAAUACAACACCACUUGUCAUGUCUUUGGUAUAAAUAAAUUGAUGAAGCUCUCGGACAUCUACAAUAUUUUCUCGCACAGAUGGAGCUAUAUAACACUCGAAAAUGUCAUCAUGAAGUACCUUACACCUUUCACAAGGAUGCAAGUGAGUUUAAUUGAGAAUAGCAAUGUGGCUAGUAUGUGUCAUAUCCACUAUGUAAUGAAGAAGAGGUCAUCGAUAUGGUUUU
rnacentral:lncRNA from 1 species